UACAGAGGGGGCAAGCGUUGUUCGGAAUUACUGGGCGUAACGGGCGCGUAGGCGGCCUGCUAAGUCGAACGUGAAAUCCCUGGGCUCAACCCAGGAACUGCGUCCGAUACUGGUUGGCUUGAAUCCGGGAGAGGGAUGUGGAAUUCCAGGUGUAGCGGUGAAAUGCGUAGAUAUCUGGAGGAACACCGGUGGCGAAGGCGACAUCCUGGACCGGUAUUGACGCUGAGGCGCGAAAGCCAGGGAGCAAAGCGGG
rnacentral:rRNA from 1 species